GGGCGCAUGGUCUAGUGGUAUGAUUUCUGUUUUGCAAACACCCGAAGUAUUUGAACUUCGGGAUGAAAAAUGCUCAUACAGACGGUCCCGCGUUCGAUCCGCGGUGCGUCCA